CAGGCCCACACCGCCACGUGACCCAGGCGCAGCCUGCGUCCCUGCGUGAGUGGGCGGGGCCGGAGGAGCUAGGCCUCGGCCGGUCUCGCGGUGCCGGGGCGGCGGGGUCCGCGCUGGCGCGUUGUCCCAGGAGCUGCCUUGCCGCCAUGCUGUCUCCUGUGCGUCCAGAGGGGCAGCCGGCGGAGGAGCGCGGGUGGUCGGCAGCCUGGGAGCCCUGGGCUGAGCCUCCCAGACUCACUUGGAAUGGUGCCCUGGGGACACUGAGUUGUGGUGGGACCCGACCAGCUCACUUCCAGUCUCGUCCGCGCCCUCACCAGGUGUCCUCCAGGCUGGGAUCCAGCCCCAUCCCAAGAUGCGGUAGGAUGGUGCUGGCUGACCCGAGGAGAAAUCAGCCUUGGUGGGUGUUAGCUGAAGUGUUAGAAGUUGAGAGCAAUUCCUAAAGACAAGACCACUGUCUUCACCCAUCUCCAAUCUCUGCCCACAAGGCAGCCAGAAUUUUCUUUCCAGAAUUCACAUCUGAUCAUGUGGUUUCCUGUUUUCUCUUACUCCUUACCUGUCCUGUCCCGUCUGGUAGCCACUAUCUCCAUGUGGUCAUUUAAAUUUAAAUUAACUAAAAUUAAGCUAAAUUAAAACUAUAUUUCCUGAGACAUAUGACACUAGCCCUAUUUCAAAUGCUCAAUAAAUAUAUGUGGCUAAUUUUAUCCUGUUUGACAGUGUCUAAAUAGAAUAUUUAUAUCAUCACAAAGUUAUUGGGCAAUGCUGCUCUCUAUUCUCAAUUCCUCAUGUUUCUGUUCUUUGGAAAUUUGUUUUGCUAAGCUCUUUGCUUGAAAGAUUUUUCUUCUACUUCCUUGAGACUGAAAAUUAUACAUGAUUGCUUGUUUUCUUAUUGGCUCCUUGACAAGCACUCAAUCUCUGUGAAGAAGGAACUAAGCCUGUUUAUACACCACUGAUACUUCAUUAUGUCUAAAUGACUGUCAUAGCGCAAUAGAGCAGACAGUGAACUAAAGUAACAGAAAAUAGUAUAAGAAAGGAACAUUUUAUUAGAACUUGUGGAUAGAUUUGAUUUUUUUAACCUACAAACAAAUUUCAUAUGGUCCAACCUAAUAAUAAGGAAAAAUUUUCAAAGAAUUGGAGGUGUUUCAGUUGGUUCUAAUGAGUUCCCUGUCACCUGGAUAGUUUAAACAAAGGCUGAAUCUGUUGGAAUAAUAUAUAAAAAAUUAUUGGAUAGGUUGGACUGGUUGACCAGUCUGAUUCUAAGUCUGUGUUCUGAGUCAUUAGUUCAACGUUGAUUACACUCUAACAACAACCACAGCUGCUUUCAUUGCCUCUGUGCCAGGCGAUGCUCACUAUAGUUCACUUAACUUAUAGCCUUCAGUCCUC